AUGUAAAAGCAUUCAGCCUCUAGUUUAUGUAUGGGUUGCGUAUAUGAAUGUAUACACGCCUAUGUACAUUCGUAGGCACACCGAAAGUAAGUUUUGUUUGUAUGAGAGAGAAAGAGAAUGAGAGGGGUCAUCUCUUCGCUGCUCUAUGUAAGAGUUAGUCGCCUUCGAGCUACUCGUGUAGACGCUUGACGAAAGCACAUGUCUCGUGCGUGUUAUAAUGAAAUAAAUAUUAUAAAAUUGAGUGAUUAUCUUUUUAUUAAAAAAGGGGAUCUGCCCUAAAAGUGCUCCUUUACCAACAAAUGGUUAUGGGCCCAGAGCACGUAGAAGUCAAGAAGUAAAGUUGACAAAUCAGAAGAAAAAAAAUACUUUGCUCUGUGUGAUAAAUUAAAAACUAAUUAGCCUUGAAAGGAUACCAUAAUGGAAGAACGUUCGUCACAAAUUAUAAACUUCCCAAAGUUAAAUUCGAAUAAUUAUAAUAGUUGGAAGCUGGAUAUGAAAGUUGCAUUGAUUGAUCGAGGAUCAUGGGAAUUCAUUACAAAUGAAGUAGAAGAACCAGCAGAAGGUACACCACGUAUACAAAAAGUUGAUUUCCAGAGGAGAAAGGAACGAGCAUUCACAACUAUAUACCUAGGAAUUGAGAGACAAUUCCAGACGCUGAUCGCAAACACGCUAGAUGGUAAGGAAGCAUGGCAGAUUUUAAAAGAUAACUUUGAGCUGCAAUCACGAGCACGACUCGCAGGCCUUGUCGAUGAAUUUUAUGACAUGAGAUUUAAUUCGGAUGAAGAAACAAUAGGAAUAUAUUGCAAAAAAGUAAGCGAAAAAAAAUUACAAAUAAAAGACGCUGGAUUUGAAAUUCCCGAUAUUCUGAUGUGUUUUCAAUUAAUAAGAAAGUUACCAGCUGAGUAUGAUAAUCUCGUACAAUCAUUAUAUAGAUUGGAUGAUAAUAAAUUUAAAUUUGUUGAUUUGGAAAAACAGUUAAUUACCGAAGAAGGUAGAAUCAAGCAAAAGAAAAAAGAUGAUGGACUAGAUAGCGUAAUAAAUGCAUACCAAACGGGUAAAAAUAUAAUAAUAAUAAAAAUAUAAAAUAUAAUAAACAAGAUAACAGAAACUUUAACAUGCAAAAUAAUGCUCAACAGUCUAAAGAUAAUAAAGUGAAUGUAAUAUGUAGAUAUUGCAAAAAGCCCGGUCAUAUAAAAAAAGACUGCUAUACUUUAAAACGUAAAAAUGAGUAUUCCACAAGAGAAAAUUCGCAAAGUAAUACAAAAGCUUUUUAUAUAGAAAAUGAAUCUGAUUUUUUCGAGUAUGACAAUCAUGAAGCACAAGUCACGAAUGCAACAGAGAACGAGUUUGAUGAAUGGUUAAUAGAUAGCGCAUCAACAUCACAUUUUUGCAAAGAAAAAGAAUGGUUUAAAAACUUUAAAGAAUUACCACCUACAGAUAUUUUAAUAGGAGACAAGAAUGCGAAAUCACAAGUAAUCGGUAAAGGUGAUGUUGUAUUUUACGUAAAAGAUAAUGAGAAAUUUGUCGAAAUAAAAUUGAAAGAUGUACUAUAUGCUCCUAAUAUGAGAAGAAACUUAAUAAGUGGAGCAUGCAUGGACAUUGCAGGUUUUCACAUAGAUUGGAAUAAUAAUAAAAUGAUAGUUUAUACCGAAAAAAGAGAAUAUUACUUUACUGUAUACAGGAAAGGAAAACUUUAUGUAUUAAAUGGAUAUCACGAGAAAAGAAUGAACGAGGUAUAUAGCACUCAAACAUAUUCAAAAGCAAGUAUCGACAUUGAAAAAGCACAUAGAAGACUGUGUCACGUAAACGUAAAUAGUAUCGGUCAAAUGAAGAGCAAAGAAAUGGUACGAGGCAUCGAGAGAAUAAACGGAACAAUGGAUACGUGUGAUGUGUGCCAGGUUAGUAAAUCUACUCGCUCGUCUUUCAAGCAAACGUUUAGAAUCAUGUCUAAAAAUAUAUUAGAAAGAAUUUAUAUGGACGUGUGGGGACCAUCUCCGGUCACGUCAGUUGGCGGAAGCCGAUAUUUUUUGUCAAUCAUAGAUGAUUAUUCGCGAAAAGUUUUCGUAUACACGAUGCAAAGAAAAUCAGAAGUUUUUAAAUAUUUUAAAGAAUUUAUGAGUGAAAUCGAAAGACAACAAGACAACAAGAUAAAAAUCGUUCGUACAGAUAAUGGCUUAGAGUUUUGUAAUAAAGAAUUCAAUGACUUUUUAAUUAAAAAAGGAGUAAGGGUAGAAAGAACUUCGACAUACACACCUGAACAAAAUGGCGUCGCCGAACGCUUCAAUCGCACAGCAAUGGAAGGUGUUAGAGCAAUGUUAGAAGAUAGUGGAUUGCAGCCGAAAUUUUGGGCUGAAGCAUUGCAUACUUUUGCACAUGUCAAAAAUAAGUGCCCGCAUAAGCUAUUGAAAGACUGUACGCCAGACGAGAAAUGGUCGGGAUACAAACCGUCAAUACAACACCUAAGAAUCUUCGGGUCGCUCGCAUAUGUUUACAUUCCAAGUUCAAAAAGAAAUAAAUUACAGGCUAAAGCAGAUUUGGGUAUACUCGUCGGAUACGCAAUAAAAACAAAGGGUUAUAGAGUAUGGCUACCAAAGUCAAGAAAGAUUAUAGAAACAAUACAUGUAAAAAUUGAGGAGAGUAAAAAUGGAGUAAAAACACUAUUUGGAGAAGAGAUGUUAAAUAAACAAUCUAAUGUUAUGAUUAAUCUCGAUAAUGAUGAUAUAUUUCUAAACGAUCAAGUUACUAUAGGUACGAAAAAUGAAGAAAAUGUAACAAAUCAAGACAUGCAAAAUGAAGUUUUAAGAGAUAUCGAUAUGUCAGGAUGGAAAAGAACUGAAAACGCAAGAAAAAUAGGAAAUAGAAUUGAUGUAUAUUAUUACCCUCCAAAUGAUAAUACUAGAUUACGAUCAAUUAAUGAUGUUCGAAAGUAUUGUGAAUUAAAUAAACUUGAAAUUAACCCGGAUUAUUUUUGUUUUGAGGCAACAAGAUCGAGUAACGAUAAAGGAGAUAAUAUAAACAAAAACGAAAAUGUAUUAAACGAGAAUGAAGACGGUGAAAAUAGUUAUAUUUUGGGUCUGAUGGAUGAAAUUCAAUUAGAUGAAGUUUAUUCUGUCGAGGCCCCGAAAAACUUCGAAGAAAGUCAGCUAUCGCCGGAAAAAGAAAAGUGGAAUGAAGCCAUGUGUGAAGAGAUAGAAACUAUGAAGUCUAGACAAGUAUGGACUCUUGUGGAUUUACCGCCAAAUCACAAGGUAAUUGGUAAUAGGUGGGUAUUCACGUUAAAAAAGGACGAUCAAAAUAAUAUUAAAAAAUAUAAAGCAAGGUUAGUAGCUAAAGGCUACAGUCAGAUAAACGGAAUUGACUAUACGGAAAUAUUUUCACCUGUUGUAAAUUUCUCAUUGAUUAGAUUUUUCUUUAUAGUGUUUGUAUCAAAGUUAUCAUGGCGGCAUGUACAAUUAGAUGUAAAAUCAGCGUACUUGUAUGGAAACCUAAAAGAACGAAAUUAUAUGCGACAACCUAAAGGUUUUGAAGUAGCAGGAAAAGAAAAUAAAGUUUGUUUAUUAAAUAAAGCAAUUUAUGGCUUACAUCAAAGCGGAAGAGAGUGGAAUCAAGAAUUCGAUAAUAUCUUAAAAUCAUUGGGUUUUAAUAAAUUACAGUGGUGUAAUUGCGUAUAUAAUUUAGAAAAUAAAGCAUUUCUUUUACUGUAUGUUGAUGAUAUUAUUAUAUUUGUUAAAAAUGAUGAAUUAAAAUGUAAAAUAGUUACAAAAAUAAAAUCGAAAAUCAACGUUACAGAGUUAGGUGAACUUAAAUAUGUAUUGGGCGUAAAUUUUGAAAAAAUUAAAGAUAAAUAUUAUUUGCACCAAAAUACGUAUAUUAAAAAACUGAUGAACAAAUUAAUAGAAUUACCGAGAAACCAUGUUAAACUACCGUUAAAAAUUGGUAUCAUCCCACCGAGAGAAGAAAAAGAAAUAAUUGAAAAUGAUUUAAUGAUAAAAUUUCCUUAUAGAACACUAAUAGGAUGUCUAUCAUUUUUAGCGGAUAGAAGUAGGCCCGACAUAUGUUUUUCAGUUAAUUUGAUGUCACAGUUCUGUACUGCGUACAAUUAUCAACAUUGGAAAAUUGUAGUAGAUAUCGUAAAUUACGUUUUUAACACUGAAAAUUAUAAGAUAAAUUUAUCAGACAUCAAAGAUACAGGUUUAAUUUCUUUUUCGGAUGCGAAUUGGGGAAGUAACCUUAUGCAAAGACAUUCAACGAGUGGAUAUAUAUUAUUUUUCGAUAAUAUUCCUUUCAUGUGGAAAUCUAUCAAACAAAAAUGUAUUGCAUUAAGCUCAAUGGAAUCCGAAUUUAUAGCGUUGGUAGAAAGUGUGAAAGAACUAGUUUGGUUUUCAAAUAUACUUAAAGGUUUAAAUAUUUAUAAUGAGUAUACUAAAAAACCUACUCAAUAUUGUGAUAAUCAGUCUGCAAUAUAUUUUAGUAAAAAUAAUAUCGAAAACAUAAAGACGAAACACAUUGACAUAAAGCUUCAAUUUAUUAGAGAUUGGGUAAAUAAAGAAAAAUUUUAUUUAAAAUAUAUACAAAGUAAGUCUAAUAUGGCUGAUUUUUUGACUAAGCCUUUAUUGCAAACUGAUUAUGAAACCUUUUUGCAAAAACAUAUUUUCUAUUAGAUUAAUCAACGGCUGAUUGAGGGGGCGUAUGUUGAUGUAAAAGCAUUCAGCCUCUAGUUUAUGUAUGGGUUGCGUAUAUGAAUGUAUACACGCCUAUGUACAUUCGUAGGCACACCGAAAGUAAGUUUUGUUUGUAUGAGAGAGAAAGAGAAUGAGAGGGGUCAUCUCUUCGCUGCUCUAUGUAAGAGUUAGUCGCCUUCGAGCUACUCGUGUAGACGCUUGACGAAAGCACAUGUCUCGUGCGUGUUAUAAUGAAAUAAAUAUUAUAAAAUUGAGUGAUUAUCUUUUUAUUAAAAAAGGGGAUCUGCCCUAAAAGUGCUCCUUUACCAACAUAAAUAUACAUGUAACACAGGAUUAGGACUGGAAUCCAAGACGCCCUCUGGGCUGAGCUUGCAUGUCAACAUUCCUAAUACAUAAACAUAUAAAAUUUCUAGUCAUUGUUAAUUAAAGUUUUAAUUCCAUCAUUUUUAAAACAGAAUAACAUACAAAGUGGAAUACUAACUCAACGCCGUAAUCUUGUCUGUUUUUAUUAUUUAAUGCAUUUUACAGAAAAUGUAUUCAAAUAAAUUUAAAGUAUCAUUAAUGUACUGUAUUUUAAUCAAUAUUUGAUUUAAACUUAGUUGGAAAAAACUACGUGCCAAUGAAUUGGCAACGGUUUUUUAAUACACUGUGCGUUUUGUCGCAUUUUUCGCCUUCUGUAUCGAAAUAGUAUAUUUCGAUACGAGUGCGCAAAAGUUGAUUCUACACGAGUAGGAGGUCUCGCUUCGCUCGGGCGACAAUCACACGAGUGAUCACACGAAAUAUACUAUUUUGAUAAGAAAUAGUUCGGAGCGUGCGUAAAAGUGCAUCUUAUGCGCAUUUCCUUGUUGCCCCAUUUUAUUCAAGAGGGUUUAUCAAAAAAUAAUGUUCAAUACAAGUGCGAAAAAGUUGAUUAUACGCAUUUCUAUCGAAAUAUACAAUUUAACAUGCAGUUAAAUUAUAACAAAAUCUACGUUAUAUUGUAUUAUAAGAACAUUAAAAUUUCGAUGUGAAUCAGGCUGAUGACGAUUCAAAACCGUGAAGAUGUUUCAAAUUUAUUAGUUUUAAUUCAACGCGUAAAAUAUUUAGUUGUAUUAUAAUUUCAAUAUUUACAAAAUAAAAAUUAAUUUUUAUUUGUAAAAUAAUGUUGACUUAUAUGCAAUCGACGUAUCGAUUUAUUUUUCAAUUAACACAAUUAUUUAAAAAUACAUUUAUAAAGUUAAGUAGAUGCCAAAUUGUUUCUCUUAGGUUUGAUUACUUAACAAUUCAAAGUUUUUUAAUUACAAGUCCGAAAUGCAUGAAUUUAAGUUUCGGUUCGAGUAUAGAUUCUACGAACCGUCAAGAAAACAUCGAUGUGUUGUCAGGCCUCAGCUAUGUAUACACUAAAUGUUGCGACAAGGUUACCUUACUUCAGUCUCCAAUCAGCCGUACUACAAAAUUUUAGCGAAUCUACAACUGACAAACUUUCUAUCCAUUGUUCUCAAUUAGCAUUACGGGAUGAUGGCAAAACUUAUCAAAAUCAGUACAAAAAACAAGAAAAUAUCGCUAAGAUGUUUCAGCUCUGUUGUUCCGAAUGUCAAACUGUUUAUCAAUGGACAAUUCGUAGCCAAAUAUGAGAUGUUACAAGGAAGAAAUUUUCGGUCCAGUUUUGGUUUGUAUGAAUGCAGCAUCACUAGACGAAGCAAUUAAAUUGAUAAAUGCCAACCCAUACGGUAACGGAACUGCAAUUUUCACAACAAACGGAGCGAGUGCAAGAACUUUUAUUGAUAGAAUUGAAGCUGGACAAGUAGGAAUUAACGUCCCGAUUCCGGUCCCAUUACCAAUGUUUAGUUUCACUGGAAAUAAAAAAUCUUUCUUCGGUGACAGUCAUUUUUACGGCAAACACGGCAUCAACUUUCAUACUCAAACGAAAACAAUAACUCAGCUGUGGCGUGCUGGAGAUGCUACCGAUAUCUCCAGUUCUACAACUAUGCCAACGAUGCAGUAAAGGACCAAAGCAGCGAAAGAGAGAUCGAAAAUCUAUAAUCUAAAUUAUAUUUACAGUACUCUAAAUAUUGACAAAAAAUAAUUUAGACUGAAUAUAAAAUACCUCAUGUAACAAUAAUUUUUAUUAAUAAUGGCUAUAUUAACUUAUGUAUAAUGUUCUUAAUAAAGAUUGAAUGUGUUGUAGUUUUUA